GGAAGAUGUAACGGGGCUAAAUCUAGUACCGAAGCUGCGGAUCUCGUAAGAGAUGGUAGAGGAGCGUUCUGUAAGUCUGUGAAGGUGAAUCGUAAGGUUUGCUGGAGAUAUCAGAAGUGCGAAUGCUGACAUGAGUAGCGUUAAAGGGGGUGAAAAGCCCCCUCGCCGUAAGCGCAAGGUUUCCUACGCAACGUUCAUCGGCGUAGGGUGAGUCGGCCCCUAAGGUGAGGCAGAGAUGCGUAGCUGAUGGGAAACAGGUUAAUAUUCCUGUACCGAUUACAAGUGCGAUGUGGGGACGGAGAAGGUUAGCUCAGCCAACUGUUGGAUAUGUUGGUUCAAGCCUGUAGUCAUGCCUGGUAGGCAAAUCCGCCGGGCUAAGAUGAGGGGUGAUAACGAGUGUGCUUGCACACGAAGUGAGUGAUACCCUGCUUCCAGGAAAAGCCACUAAGCUUCAGCUUGUAACGACCGUACCGCAAACCGACACUGG
rnacentral:rRNA from 1 species